rnacentral:lncRNA from 1 species
UCCAUUCAUAUUGCAAUCGGGCCUUUCUCCUUAUAAUAAGAAAAAGAACUCGGAACUCCAAGGGAAGAUAUUUAAUUAGGAGUUGCGUUGUUCGAAUCCGACCUCGACCAAAGAGCCUUUGCCUUUCUUGGUUGGACCAAGCCAACCGGCGAUUUCCAACAACUUGGCUUUUCUCCUUUGCCUUUGCUGUGCCUUUUGCCAAAUGGAUUAUGCCAAUCCAUUCUCUCGCUCUAAAUACUACAUAGUCACUUAUAUAGGAGAAGGUAUUAGAACGGGUAAUCCACUAAUGGAUACAGGUAAGGUCUUACCUUACACUCCAAUUCAUUCGCUCGCUAAUAGUAAGAAAGGCUCGAGAGACCUACACUCUCUCAGUCUGGCAGGGAACAUAACUUCAAAGAGAACUCCAUUCCCAAUCCCUUAAUAAUUGCUUCAUUUUCGAGUUUGAUUCAAUAAGGCUCUAUUCGGGUGUGAAAAAAGGCGUUGCUCCCUACGCUUCCAUACCUGCGCUUGCCUUGGCCC